UACGUAGGGGGCAAGCGUUGUCCGGAUUUAUUGGGCGUAAAGCGCGUGUAGGCGGCCACGCAGGUCCGCUGUGAAAACUCGAGGCUCAACCUCGAGCUGUCGGUGGAAACCGCGUGGCUAGAGUCCGGAAGAGGGGACUGGAAUUCCCGGUGUAGCGGUGAAAUGCGCAGAUAUCAGGAAGAACACCCGUGGCGAAGGCGGCUCUCUGGGACGGUACUGACGCUGAGACGCGAAAGCGUGGGGAGCGAACAGG
rnacentral:rRNA from 1 species